CUAUGAUAAUUAGAAUAAUGAAGGUGUCUCCGAUGUCUCUCCACCGAUGUCUUCAUUUGCAUCACUUCUAUAGCUAGGCCAAGUGCGGAUAAAUUGAGGAUUCCAGCAAGUUUUCAGUUUGUACUGCAUUGUUAUUUCCUAACGUUUCAAACAGCUGUGAAGUUUUCUGCCAAUAUACCAUGGGCAAUACCCUAUUCAGUGAGUGUACUCUACCAAACGCUUACCAGAACAUAACCACGGCGACGGAAUGCACAAUGUGGCAGCGCCUCUACAAGUCCCGUUUGUACCUUUAACCCGCUCUUCCUGCUCUUCUCCGCCUCUGGAUUCCGCUGCCUGUGCCCGCCGGGGACGUGGCCAUUCAUUUUUCCGAGCUUUGCUAUACCUAAUGCACCGCCUGCAGAGGUUGUGACAGUCUGCUUCAAUAUUGAAGGCUCUCCAUGCUCAACGGACGCAGAUUGCAACCUUAGGGCGACGGACUGCCUUGGCGUUGCCUCAGAUUUUGUCGUCCC